GGAGUCAGCUCCUGGUUGUGUGUGUUUGUUUCCUCAGAAACUUUUCGUCCCCUUGCGCGAUUUGGGUCCCUGCAGGGGUCAGUCAUCCAUCCAGACCUAAAGGACACGUUAAAUUUAACAGGAUCGUGAACAUCAGCACAGGAACAGGAGGUGCAAAUGCUCUGUCUAAUCAAAGGCGAGAUGCAGUUGCUUGCAUGUACAGGACUAUCCAUAUUUUCUAUACUUCCUGGAUAUUGGGACAUGAAUACCCACAGUGAUCGUAGACCACACGAAGGAGCAAAAAGACUCUCAAGCUUCUAUGUAACCCUCACACACCUCUCUGAUCCUUCACAGUGAUGCUAAAUACAAUGAACAAUAGCAGAAAUAAAAACAAUAGUUUUGUGGA